CCUACGGGGGGCUGCAGUAGGGAAUCUUCCGCAAUGGACGAAAGUCUGACGGAGCAACGCCGCGUGAGUGAAGAAGGUUUUCGGAUCGUAAAACUCUGUUGUCAGAGAAGAACAAGUCGGAGAGUAACUGCUCCGGCCUUGACGGUAUCUGACCAGAAAGCCACGGCUAACUACGUGCCAGCAGCCGCGGUAAUACGUAGGUGGCAAGCGUUGUCCGGAUUUAUUGGGCGUAAAGCGAGCGCAGGCGGUUCCUUAAGUCUGAUGUGAAAGCCCACGGCUCAACCGUGGAAGGUCAUUGGAAACUGGGGAACUUGAGUGCAGAAGAGGAGAGUGGAAUUCCAUGUGUAGCGGUGAAAUGCGUAGAUAUAUGGAGGAACACCAGUGGCGAAGGCGACUCUCUGGUCUGUAACUGACGCUGAGGCUCGAAAGCGUGGGGAGCAAACAGGAUUAGAUACCCCAGUAGUC
rnacentral:rRNA from 1 species